UACGUAGGGGGCAAGCGUUGUCCGGAAUUAUUGGGCGUAAAGAGCGCGUAGGCGGUCCGAUAAGUCGGCUGUGAAAGUCAGGGGCUCAACCCUUGAAAGCCGGCCGAUACUGUCGGACUAGAGUCCGGAAGAGGCAAGUGGAAUUCCCGGUGUAGCGGUGAAAUGCGCAGAUAUCGGGAGGAACACCAAUGGCGAAGGCAGCUUGCUGGGACGGUACUGACGCUGAUGAGCGAAAGCUAGGGGAGCAAACGGG
rnacentral:rRNA from 1 species